CGAAGGGGGGACGGAGAAGGCUAUGUUGGCCGGGCGACGGUUGUCCCGGUUUAAGCGUGUAGGCUGGUUUUCCAGGCAAAUCCGGAAAAUCAAGGCUGAGGCGUGAUGACGAGGCACUACGGUGCUGAAGCAACAAAUGCCCUGCUUCCAGGAAAAGCCUCUAAGCAUCAGGUAACAUCAAAUCGUACCCCAAACCGACACAGGUGGUCAGGUAGAGAAUACCAAGGCGCUUGAGAGAACUCGGGUGAAGGAACUAGGCAAAAUGGUGCCGUAACUUCGGGAGAAGGCACGCUGAUAUGUAGGUGAAGUCCCUCGCGGAUGGAGCUGAAAUCAGUCGAAGAUACCAGCUGGCUGCAACUGUUUAUUAAAAACACAGCACUGUGCAAACACGAAAGUGGACGUAUACGGUGUGACGCCUGCCCGGUGCCGGAAGGUUAAUUGAUGGGGUCAGCGCAAGCGAAGCUCUUGAUCGAAGCCCCGGUAAACGGCGGCCGUAACUAUAACGGUCCUAAGGUAGCGAAAUUCCUUGUCGGGUAAGUUCCGACCUGCACGAAUGGCGUAAUGAUGGCCAGGCUGUCUCCACCCGAGACUCAGUGAAAUUGAACUCGCUGUGAAGAUGCAGUGUACCCGCGGCAAGACGGAAAGACCCCGUGAACCUUUACUAUAGCUUGACACUGAACAUUGAGCCUUGAUGUGUAGGAUAGGUGGGAGGCUUUGAAGUGUGGACGCCAGUCUGCAUGGAGCCGACCUUGAAAUACCACCCUUUAAUGUUUGAUGUUCUAACGUGGACCCGUGAUCCGGGUUGCGGACAGUGUCUGGUGGGUAGUUUGACUGGGGCGGUCUCCUCCUAAAGAGUAACGGAGGAGCACGAAGGUUGGCUAAUCCUGGUCGGACAUCAGGAGGUUAGUGCAAUGGCAUAAGCCAGCUUGACUGCGAGCGUGACGGCGCGAGCAGGUGCGAAAGCAGGUCAUAGUGAUCCGGUGGUUCUGAAUGGAAGGGCCAUCGCUCAACGGAUAAAAGGUACUCCGGGGAUAACAGGCUGAUACCGCCCAAGAGUUCAUAUCGACGGCGGUGUUUGGCACCUCGAUGUCGGCUCAUCACAUCCUGGGGCUGAAGUAGGUCCCAAGGGUAUGGCUGUUCGCCAUUUAAAGUGGUACGCGAGCUGGGUUUAGAACGUCGUGAGACAGUUCGGUCCCUAUCUGCCGUGGGCGCUGGAGAACUGAGGGGGGCUGCUCCUAGUACGAGAGGACCGGAGUGGACGCAUCACUGGUGUUCGGGUUGUCAUGCCAAUGGCACUGCCCGGUAGCUAAAUGCGGAAGAGAUAAGUGCUGAAAGCAUCUAAGCACGAAACUUGCCCCGAGAUGAGUUCUCCCUGACCCUUUAAGGGUCCUGAAGGAACGUUGAAGACGACGACGUUGAUAGGCCGGGUGUGUAAGCGCAGCGAUGCGUUGAGCUAACCGGUACUAAUGAACCGUGAGGCUUAACCUUACAACGCCGAAGGUGUUU
rnacentral:rRNA from 1 species